UACGGGGGGGGGCAAGCGUUGUUCGGAAUUACUGGGCGUAAAGGGCUCGUAGGCGGCCAACUAAGUCAGACGUGAAAUCCCCAGGCUCAACCUGGGAACUGCGUCUGAUACUGGAUGGCUUGAAUCCGGGAGAGGGAUGCAGAAUUCCUGGUGUAGCGGUGAAAUGCGCAGAUAUCAGGAGGAACACCGGUGGCGAAGGCGGGUCUCUGGGCCGAUACUGACGCUGAGGAGCGAAAGCGUGGGGAGCGAACAGG
rnacentral:rRNA from 1 species